AUUGAACGCUGGCGGCAGGCCUAACACAUGCAAGUCGGACGGUAGCACAGGGGAGCUUGCUCCUCGGGUGACGAGUGGCGGACGGGUGAGUAAUGUCUGGGGAUCUGCCCGAUAGAGGGGGAUAACCACUGGAAACGGUGGCUAAUACCGCAUAACGUCGCAAGACCAAAGAGGGGGACCUUCGGGCCUCUCACUAUCGGAUGAACCCAGAUGGGAUUAGCUAGUAGGCGGGGUAAUGGCCCACCUAGGCGACGAUCCCUAGCUGGUCUGAGAGGAUGACCAGCCACACUGGAACUGAGACACGGUCCAGACUCCUACGGGAGGCAGCAGUGGGGAAUAUUGCACAAUGGGCGCAAGCCUGAUGCAGCCAUGCCGCGUGUAUGAAGAAGGCCUUCGGGUUGUAAAGUACUUUCAGCGGGGAGGAAGGCGGUGAGGUUAAUAACCUUGCCGAUUGACGUUACCCGCAGAAGAAGCACCGGCUAACUCCGUGCCAGCCGCCGCAGUAA
rnacentral:rRNA from 1 species